rnacentral:rRNA from 1 species
GGCAUGGACGCAAGUCUGACCUGCGACGCCGCGUGCGGGAUGAAGGCCUUCGGGUUGUAAACCGCUUUCAGUAGGGAAGAAGCGAAAGUGACGGUACCUACAAAAGAAGCACCGGCUAACUAUGUGCCAGCAGCCGCGGUAAUACAUAGGGUGCAAGCGUUGUCCGGAAUUAUUGGGCGUAAAGAGCUCGUAGGUUGUUCGUUACGUCGGAUGUGAAAAUCUGGGGCUCAACCCCAGACCUGCAUUCGAUACGGGCGAACUAGAGUGUGGUAGGGGAGACUGGAAUUCCUGGUGUAGCGGUGGAAUCGCGCGGAUAUCAGGAGGAACACCAAUGGCGAAGGCAGGUCUCUGGGCCAUUACUGACACUGAGGAGCGAAAGUCUGGGGAGCGAACAGGAUUAGAUACCCUGGUAGUCCAGACCGUAAACGGUGGGCGCUAGUUGUGGGAACCUUCCACGGUUUCUGCGACGCAGCUAACGCAUUA